UACAGAGGUCUCAAGCGUUGUUCGGAUUCAUUGGGCGUAAAGCGCGCGUAGGUGGCUUCGUAAGUCCGUUGUGAAAGUCAAAGGCUCAACCUUUGAAUGCCGAUGGAUACUGCGAAGCUAGAGUACGGAAGAGGCGAGUGGAAUUCCUGGUGUAGCGGUGGAAUGCGCAGAUAUCAGGAGGAACACCAAUAGCGAAGGCAGCUCGCUGGGACGUUACUGACACUAAGGCGCGAAAGCGUGGGGAGCGAACAGG
rnacentral:rRNA from 1 species